rnacentral:rRNA from 1 species
CCUACGGGAGGCAGCAGUGAGGAAUAUUGGUCAAUGGGCUUGCGCCUGAACCAGCCAAGUCGCGUGAGGGAAGACUGUCCUAUGGGUUGUAAACCUCUUUAGGCGGGGAGCAAUGCCGGGCACGCGUGCCCGGAGUGAGAGUACCUGCAGAAAAAGCAUCGGCUAACUCCGUGCCAGCAGCCGCGGUAAUACGGAGGAUGCGAGCGUUAUCCGGAUUUAUUGGGUUUAAAGGGUGCGUAGGCGGAAUUUUAAGUCAGCGGUAAAAUGGCGGGGCUCAACCCGGCUCGGCCGUUGAAACUGGGGAUCUUGAGUGGGCGAGAAGUAUGCGGAAUGCGUGGUGUAGCGGUGAAAUGCAUAGAUAUCACGCAGAACUCCGAUUGCGAAGGCAGCAUACCGGCGCCCGACUGACGCUGAGGCACGAAAGCGUGGGGAUCGAACAGGAUUAGAUACCCGGGUAGUC